CAGGUUUUUGCUAAUAUUUGUGGUUUCACUUGUAAAUAUUGAAUCUUUUUUGAGAAUUGGGUUUUUGUUUUUGAGAUUUUAUGAAUUGGAGAGGAUGGACUUUUGGUGUUGAUUGAAUAAAAAUGAAAUUUUUAAUUAUUAGUUAUAAUUUUAAACUGAUUUUGAGAAUUGAGUUUUUUUGUGCUUUGAGAUUCUAUGGAUUGGGGAG
rnacentral:lncRNA from 1 species